UACGUAGGGUGCAAGCGUUAAUCGGAAUUACUGGGCGUAAAGCGUGCGCAGGCGGUCAUGCAAGACAGAUGGGAAAUCCCCGGGCUCAACCUGGGAACUGCAUUUGUGACUGCAUGGCUGGAGUGCGGCAGAGGGGGAUGGAAUUCCGCGUGUAGCAGUGAAAUGCGUAGAUAUGUGGAGGAAUACCGAUGGCGAAGGCAGCCCCCUGGGAUAACACUGACGCUCAUGCACGAAAGCGUGGGGAGCAAACAGG
rnacentral:rRNA from 1 species